ACGAAGCACAUUUAAUAGUGUAUUUAUUGUGGUUUAAUAAAAAGCUUAUUAUAUAUUUAGAUGAACCAACCUAUUUCUUUAAGGAUUCUAAGAAUCAUUUUAAUGAUGACAUGUGGUUACAAAAAAAUGUUGCAAUGCUUUUCAAAUAAUAUAUAGGGGAUUGUCUUCAUCUGUAGUUGAUAUAUAUUUUAUUUUGUGCCACGAUUCUAUGAGAUCCAUUAAUGUUGAAUGGAUUGCUUGGAUCGACUAUUUUUUGUUAACAAAUGAGAUAUGCUUAGUCUGUUUGACUCAAUCGUUUAAUUUAACAAUGGUUACUGUAGGGGUUUGUGUUGAUUUUAAUUUACCAAAUCACAAAUUAAAUUAUCAUUUUCUGUGUGCUGGGUGGGAGAAUAAUUAUUGACACACACUAUCGGUGGCUCUCCUAUGUAGUUUCAUGCAUCUUUGGUUUCAAGGUCCACCACUUCCACAUUUUCUUGAAGCAUUCAUUUGAUAAUAAUGAUGUAUUUUUCUUAAGAAUCAAUUCAAAAUUUCACAAUUCCUUUAAUCCUCUCUCAGUACCAAUAACAUUAAUGUCUUAUGAAUCUAUUUGCAAUUGGUCCAAGUUUUAGGAUCUUUUGAAUAAGAAAAACUUUGUUUAUACAACGACAAGAGAGUGUGCCAAUUACAAAAGGGACUUUAGUGCGCAAAAUUAAUAUCGUUCAUAGAAUUUUGCUUUUGAUUUUUCAACGAAACUUGGAACCAAUCACGGGUUUCCUUUGUAUAUUCCUUUUCAACCAAUCUGAUGAUAGUUGACUUUUCCAAAAGUCUGUUAGUAGUUUUUUCUUUCCAUUACAUUACGCAUAGGGAAAUUUGAUGCUAUAACCUAAAAAUUUAUAAUUCACAAAGUAAAUAUAGCAAACUGAUGACUAUGAUAUAAUACAUAUUAUUGAUAGGGUGCACGAAAUAUCCUUUUUAUAAACGCUUGUCUACUCUCAUCUGAUACAAUUAUCAAACAGAAUGAAAAAUAAAGCAGAGGCAUAAAGAAGAGGCACGAGAUUUAAAACAAAAAAAAAUUGAUGGGUUCAAGGAAAAUGGUUUAUAACAUUUUUUUAGUAGCUUGAGUUUGUGUGAUCUUGGUAAAGUUACAAUCGCUUUUUGAAGGACUGAGAAAUUUGAUCGUCGGUGUCAGAAAAAAUGAAAACGAUGAUAAACAGUUACCAUUUAGUGUACUAUUCUAUUUUAUCAUGAAAAAUAGAAUAUAAUUUUUUUUCACAGUAAGUAAUUAUAAUUUAUAAGUUAUGUAUUAUUCUAUUUUAUUACGAAAACAUAGAAUAAAUAUAUGAUUUCACACUAAUAGAAUAUGUGUUACUUUUUCUUCUUCUCCUUCCUUUAUUCUUUUUCAUCUAAUUUGAGACUUUUUUAUCCGUUAAAAACAAUAAAUUUCCGGUAAAAAAUAGAUAAACAUUUUUGUACCAAUUCUUGCAUACACUAUAGUAUACUAUUCUAUUUUAUGAUGAUAUUAUAGAAUGUUAAAACCUCCUCCUCAUCUUCUCCUCCCUCUCCUCCUUUGCUGCGAACAACGACCUCCUCUGCUCUUAUCUUAUUGCCGAGAACAUUAGCGGAGGAACGACUUCUCGCGAGUUCUAGGAGAAUGAAGCCGAGAUUGACAGAGGAGGUUGAGAUGAUCGAUAUCUCCCGGUGGGAAUAGGCCAUAAAGGAAAGAGGGAGAGGGGAGAUGAGGACAUUCCUAAUCCUAGAGUGAGUACACACUACCUACGACUUCGACCUCGAACUUUGUUCUCUAAUUCUCAAUACUUAGCCCUUAAUUUUAGUUCUUGUAACCCAAUCUAUUUGCUCACUGUAUUUAAUAUACCUUUAUUAAUAUAUUUAAAGUCUAUUUAUUGUUGACUGGAAUCUGAUU